rnacentral:other from 1 species
AGGUCGCUGCCCGGUUCGUCAGGACUUACGUCCCCGGGGCCUUAAAUUCAUGUUCGGGAGCUGUCUCUGACUAGGGUCGUGGCCCUUAUCACGCGGCGCCCACCUGGUCCUUCGGGUCCAGGGCGACAAAAAUGUCCAACGGCCGGUGCGGCACUUUA